AUUGAACGCUGGCGGCAGGCUUAACACAUGCAAGUCGAGCGGAGAUGAGGUGCUUGCACCUUAUCUUAGCGGCGGACGGGUGAGUAAUGCUUAGGAAUCUGCCUAUUAGUGGGGGACAACAUUCCGAAAGGAAUGCUAAUACCGCAUACGUCCUACGGGAGAAAGCAGGGGAUCUUCGGACCUUGCGCUAAUAGAUGAGCCUAAGUCGGAUUAGCUAGUUGGUGGGGUAAAGGCCUGCCAGGGCGACGAUCUGUAGCGGGUCUGAGAGGAUGAUCCGCCACACUGGGACUGAGACACGGCCCAGACUCCUACGGGAGGCAGCAGUGGGGAAUAUUGGACAAUGGGGGGAACCCUGAUCCAGCCAUGCCGCGUGUGUGAAGAAGGCCUUAUGGUUGUAAAGCACUUUAAGCGAGGAGGAGGCUACUGAGACUAAUACUCUUGGAUAGUGGACGUUACUCGCAGAAUAAGCACCGGCUAACUCUGUGCCAGCAGCCGCGGUAACAC
rnacentral:rRNA from 1 species